CAUGCACAUAUGAGUAUCAGAAUAUGCAAUAGAGGAUAACUGAAGUGGAAGUGGAUGCGUACCUGAUCAGCAAACGGCAACGCGCUAUCACAAAAUGAGAUUAGUGCAUAGUAAUGAACAUAAAGUAUGUCACUCAUGUCACCAAAACAGAUAAAGAAGCACCAAUAGCACGCAUGAUAUUUCAUUCAAAAUUCAUUUUUAUUUUAAAGCAAAUUUAUUUGAUGUAGGGCCCCC
rnacentral:lncRNA from 1 species